GAGGGUAUAGCUCAGUGGUAGAGUGCAUGCUUAGCAUGCACAAGGUCCUGGGUUCGAUCCCCAGUACCUCCA
rnacentral:tRNA from 1 species